UUUCAAUUUCCUUCAUUUUUCAUUUUUCACAUUUCUCUGCUCUCAUGUCUCACUUACAUUGUUCAGGAUUUUUUUUUCCUUUUAAUUAACUGUAUUCUGUUUGUUUGCUUAGAAAUCGUGGGAAAGGAAAAAGUAUGUGAAUUUUUGAAAUCUUGAGCCUUCGUUUAGUCUUUUUGCCGUGACAAAUGAGAUUUCUUUUACUUUGGAAACUAAUACUACAUGAUGUGUAGCUUCAUUUUUUUGGGAAAUUUUGGCAAUUUAUAGAACAAUGAAAUUUUCUCUCUUUGUGAAUCUGAAUUAACAACUGGAAUUCAUGGGAUGUUUUUUGAAAAUUUUUUGAGCUCUUGGAAAUGCUAAUCUUCAAUUCUCACUCAUGUAGUUUUAUCUGUUAGGAAUUCAUUCGGUUUUUUUUUUUUUCCUUCGGUUGUGGGUGAGACUCUGCUUCAGCUUAUUAAGUUGAUGGGCUUUUCUUUUAGAAAAAUUGUUGAUUCUUAGGCUCCAGUUUGUUUCACGGCGAAUUUUAUAGUGUUUGGGGCACUUAGUAAAAUGAGUGACACUUAUAAUCUUAUUGAAAUGUGGAAACAAAACGAUGAUGAUGUGUUUCUGAUAUCAGUGACCUUUCUUAGCAACAAAAUUAAGAAUAAUUUUGUUUUUAACUUUUAGGAUUGAUAUUUAUGACUGUAAUGGAAUAUCAUUUGAUGAUGUGUUUUCAUUAUAGGGGUUGAGGUUUGGGAUAGAGUAGAAAUGGAUCGGCUCAAGGCUCCUGCUCGCCUCAUGAUAGUUUCUGAUCUUGAUCAUACAAUGGUUGAUCAUCACGAUCCUGAGAACAUGUCUAUUCUUAGGUUCAAUGCAUUAUGGGAAGCCCAUUACCGUCAUGAUUCUCUGUUGGUUUUUUCCACUGGAAGAUCACCUACACUUUACAAACAGUUGAGGAAAGAGAAGCCCAUGUUAACACCAGACAUAACCAUAAUGUCUGUGGGAACUGAGAUCACAUAUGGUAACAAGAUGGUGCCAGAUGAUGGUUGGGUUGAGUUUCUGAAUAAAAAAUGGGAUAGGAAAAUAGUCACUGAGGAAACAAGCAAGUUCCCUGAACUUACUCUUCAGGUAUAAAUUAAAAGAUACUGGCAUUUGGUUCCCCUAUUUAAGGCUUUACUUUGUCAAUGGGCAUCUAGUUUGAUUCUUCUCGUUUUCCUUGACAUUAUCUCAAAAAAAUAAAAGGUAAGUGGCUUAUUAUAAAGCUAUCUUGGUAUUUGCAAUAAAUGAAUAAUUAAAAUUAAUGCCGGUAAUGCAGUCAGAAACAGAGCAACGACCACAUAAGGUUAGCUUUUAUGUUGAUAAAGACAAGGCUCAGAAUGUAACAACGGCAAUUUCAGAGAUAUUGGGAAAACGAGGGGUAAGAUUCAAGUUUUGUACAUGAAUUAUAUUGUGCUUGAAGUUUUUAUAUCUUUUCCCAAGUAGAAGUGUGCUUUUUCUUAAUACAAACUAUGGCAGUAUUGGGAUCUUCUUCCGCUUCAUUUUUUCUUCCAUCUCCCUUUUAUCCUGUCAUUUUCUUUCUUCUUUGCUCAAGUCCUCAACUACUGUUGUGUUGAUUAACUUGACUUAAAAUCUCUCUCUCUCUCCCAACAUCUCCCCCCCCUCUCCCUUCCUAUUUUCUUCACCAGUUGGAUGUUAAAAUAAUUUAUAGUGGGGGAAUGGAUUUGGACAUACUACCACAAGGUGCUGGCAAAGGACAGGCUCUUGCAUAUUUGCACAAGAAGUAUAAGACCAAGAGAAAACUACCUACUAACACUCUUGUGUGUGGUGAUUCUGGAAAUGAUGCUGAACUAUUCAGCAUUCCGGAUGUAUAUGGAGUCAUGGUUAGCAAUGCACAAGAAGAAUUGUUACAGUGGCACGCUGAAAAUGCUAAAAAUAAUCCCAAAGUAAUUCAUGCAACUGAAAGGUGUGCAGCUGGGAUUAUACAAGCCAUUGGUCAUUUUAAACUUGGUCCAAAUACUUCUCCAAGAGAUACAACAGACUUUAAAAGCCAUGAGUUGGAAAAUGUUAGUCCUGGCAAUCUACUGGUGAAAUUUUUCUUGUUCCUUGAGAGGUGGAGACGUGCAGAAGUUGAGAAUUGUGAGACGUACUUGGCAAGCAUGAAAGCUGAUUGUGAUCCAUCUGGUAUCCUUGUCCAUCAUUCUGGUGCUGAGGUCUCUCUGCAUGAUGCUAUAAAUGGGUUAAGGAGUCACUAUGGUGACAAAAAGGGCAAGCUUUUUCGAAUUUGGGUUGAUCAGACAUUAUCUACAAAGAUUGGUUCAGAUAUAUGGCUAGCACAGUUCAAGCAGUGGGAGUUAUCAGGUGAGACUUAUAAAAAUAAUGACAACGAUGAUGUUGAAAUGUCUUCGCCUUUGUAGCUCUCGUGUGCAUUGUCUGAUGUAUUUUCUGCCAGUUGAUACAAUGGUGCAUUUUCUUUAUCUUUUUUCAAACCAGAGAUAUAAUUUCUUCUGUAUUGUUUUACCAAAUGUAAGUUCAUGGAGCCCAUGUAUGUCAGCUAUAGUUGAUUUUUAAGGUGUCGUUGAACUCAUAAGAGAUGUCAUUUUAUUGCUAUUUGUUGUGGAUUCCCAAUUUUUCUCUCUAGAUCACACAUGCAUGUCGCUUCUAGAUUCAGAGUGAAAUUGAAUUUAAUACUCUCAUACAUUCCCUAGAAAGCAGUGCAACAAUGAUUUAAUACUCUCAGAUGCUCCCUAGAGGAGUGCAACAAUGAUUUAAUAUGCUGCAAGAUCAUAUUGUUGAAUUUAGACUGUCCGUGUGACCAAGUUGUAGGCCAAUGAGAUGCUUUAUGUCGUUUUGUUUGGGUCAGUGAAUAUUUGGAUCUGCUGAAUAAAAAGUUCGAUUAUGUAAACCAUAUAUGAAGUAUAAGAAAUAUGAGCAAUUUCUGGCUCUCUAGGUACAUGUUUGAUCAUAAUUUCGAUAUGUUGCCCUUUCUCCUCUCUAUGAUUGCAUGACUCCAGCAUCAUCAAUAUUAGACUGAUUUGCUAUUUGUAAAGCUUUAUCACCUGGAUCCUUAGCUUGAAGUAACAUUGGACAGAAGGGCGUGGUUGCUGGAGACACCAGAGCGAUAGAAAUCUUCUAAACUUAUACUACUGCGAGACUUGGUAAUAUAUUUAUACAAGACAGUGUUGUACAAGCCUGUAUAGCAUACAUUUGUAGCAGGGUAUUUCAGGCAACACUUAGGUGCUUAAUUAUUCCUUCCAAACUCAGAAAAAUCAAUCAAAAUUAGCCAUUUAUAUGAGAAUACUUGUAAGAGUGUUCUAUUGGAGCAUAGGAUCACAAUUAUGCAAUAAUGACAAUCUGGGAUCUUAUUUGUUAGUGAACUUACUAUCUUUUACUUCCCUUUAGUUUUCCUUGCUAAAUUUAAAGAAAUGCCAUCUUUUAACUAGGUGACGAGUUGUUAUACUUCCUAUUAUUAAAACAUCGGAGCAUAAGGCCUACAAGUAGAUAUUUUUUUUUAUUUAUUUAAAAAAAAUCUUUAAAUGUGCCUGUAUUACAUGUACGUAUAUAGAAAAUCAACUUUGGCCUGUUUGAUAGUUCCAUAUAACAGUUGUGUUGUGGUUGCAUCUGAACUAGUUAAGCAUAGUUGAUGGAUAAUUCUGCUUAUUUCAUAACGUGCUAAUUUAUUUUGUAACAUUGUGGGAUCACGAUUCUUGCAUAUACCCGUUUAACAGUUGUAUUGUGGUUGCAUCUGAACUAGUAAAGCAUAGUUGAUGCGUAAUUCUGCUUAUUUGUCACAUGGUGAUGAGCAACAAGGCUGUGUGAACACUGCUAUAAUAAAUGUAAAGAACUCUGCUGACUCUGCUUUAGCGGGGGCAACUUAUAUGCACAUGCAUCAAACAUGGUUGGAAAGAUCAGGAGCUAAAGAU
rnacentral:misc_RNA from 1 species